rnacentral:lncRNA from 1 species
CAAACAGUUAUAAAAAAACAUUUGUGAUGUUUCUAGGUGAUGUUUUAAAGGUAAAUAAAUGUUUGCAUUGAUUUAAAAAGUCACUAAAAAUAAUUUUGACUUCUCUGAUGCUUUACAAAGUGGAAGACCAGUUGAGUUUGAUAAUGAAGCUUUAAAAUUCUUAUUGGAGUCCAAUUCAAAAUUGAGCAUCUAGAAAUUGUUGGAUAAACUUGGAUCUACAUAGUCAACAGUUCAAAGAUAUCUCCAGGAAAUUCAAAAUGUUCAUAGACAGGGCAUAAGGAUUCUAUACAAAUUUUCUUCCACCAACAAGGAACAGUGACAUACACACUGCCUUGUCAGUAAUAAGUUGCAUAUUGUAUGUCUUUCUGUUGAGAAAGGACCAUAUCUCUUCCUUGCAGAAGUGUAACUGAAGAUGAAAAAAUGGAUCCUCUACAUCAGGGAUGGGCAAACUUUUCUGACCAUGGGCAACACAGACUUUUGUGAGGACUGCAUAAAAAACUAUUUUUACAUGCCAAUGCAUGAGGUACUCAUAGUAGCAGAAAAUAAUAUGAUCAUGCUGGAAACCAGCAUUUUAUUUUCAACAAAUUUUCAUAGUCAUUCUCUACCACUACUACUGCCUCAAAAUCUAUUGCCCCCCCAAGAGAUUACUUGGAAUCAAGUGGGACACAUGACAGAUUUUUUAAAGGGGAAGCUUUAGCAUACAAAACAUUAAAUUUAAUUAAUUAAUUAUGUUGCUUGUUUAUAUAAUUUAACACUUUUGUGAUAAAAUUUGUAAAAAAUCUUACACUUGUGCACGGAUCGCGGGCAGUAGAUAUCGUCUUACGACACGCGGGCCACAUGCGAUUCGAGUCGCAUGUGGUCCGCGUGUGGUAAUUGGCCCAUCCUUGAUCUUGAUUAAUCUUAUAAAUCAGGAGUGGGGCAAACUUUUCUGAUCUUUUGCCACACAGACUUCAGUAAGGUCUUUAACGGACCGUAUGUAAAAAAAUGCUUUUACUUUCCGAUAUACGAGGUAUUCAUAGAAAAGGAAAGUAUUGCGAUCAUGCCG